CCCCCCCCCAUAAGACAUCAAGGUUGCUGUCUGGAUUAACUCUUAUUGCUUGGAAACUCUAAGCAUUAUUUCUGCUGCAGGAACCGCAGAUACAAACCCAGUGGCGAAUAAUGAAACCCAGUCAUGGGCCGCUGAGAGUCCAUGCUUAGCGAGAUGAAAGGCUAAAAACCAAUAUUCUCCAAUCAAAGAAAUCACACCAGUUGAAGCCACCAAGGAGUUGAUUUUAUCUGGCCAGAAAGGAUGACAGCUAGUGGUGCUUGGUUUACGACCGUAUUUCCCCUAUGAACCUGCAUGCUCUCUUCGAUCAUCUGGGGAGGCCCUUCUCUCGCUUUCACCUUCAUCACAAUCUUGGCUUGUCGGGACAAGGGAGAAGGUCUUCUCUGCAGUGGUCCCCAGAUUUGGAACUCCCUUCCUAGGAAGAUUAGGCAAGUACCCACUCUAUCAUCUUUUAAAAAGGAGUUAAAAACUUGGCUCUUCUAGUGCGCUUUUGAAUAAUCUAGUCCCUGUGAUCAAAACUCUACUUAACGAAUUCACUAUAUUUUACCCUUUAUUCUACUUUCUACUGUAAAUAACUCACUCCAAUUCUCUUGAGAAUGUUUUGAGCACUUUGUCCUUCUACGCUCCCAAAUGACACUAUAAUACAUAUCUUACACUUUCGCCUAGACCGCCCUCCCGUUUUAUUGCACUUAGCCUAAAUGGUGGUCCUUUUAUGUCAUCAUUCUAUAUUUUAUAUUGGU